UACGUAGGUGGCAAGCGUUGUCCGGAAUUAUUGGGCGUAAAGCGCGCGCAGGCGGUCCUUUAAGUCUGAUGUGAAAGCCCACGGCUCAACCGUGGAGGGUCAUUGGAAACUGGGGAACUUGAGUGCAGAAGAGGAAAGUGGAAUUCCAAGUGUAGCGGUGAAAUGCGUAGAGAUUUGGAGGAACACCAGUGGCGAAGGCGACUUUCUGGUCUGUAACUGACACUGAGGCGCGAAAGCGUGGGGAGCGAACAGG
rnacentral:rRNA from 1 species